GCUCAGGAUGAACGCUAGCGGCAGGCCUAAUACAUGCAAGUCGGACGGGAUCCGUCGGAGAGCUUGCUCGAAGACGGUGAGAGUGGCGCACGGGUGCGUAACGCGUGAGCAACCUACCUCUAUCAGGGGGAUAGCCUCUCGAAAGAGAGAUUAACACCGCAUAACAUAUCUGACCGGCAUCGGUUAGMUAUUAAAUAUUUAUAGGAUAGAGAUGGGCUCGCGUGACAUUAGCUAGUUGGUAGGGUAACGGCUUACCAAGGCGACGAUGUCUAGGGGCUCUGAGAGGAGAAUCCCCCACACUGGUACUGAGACACGGACCAGACUCCUACGGGAGGCAGCAGUAAGGAAUAUUGGUCAAUGGGCGGAAGCCUGAACCAGCCAUGCCGCGUGCAGGAUGACUGCCCUAUGGGUUGUAAACUGCUUUUGUCCAGGAAUAAACCUUUCUACGUGUAGGAAGCUGAAUGUACUGGAAGAAUAAGGAUCGGCUAACUCCGUGCCAGCAGCCGCGGUAAUACGGAGGAUCCGAGCGUUAUCCGGAUUUAUUGGGUUUAAAGGGUGCGUAGGCGGCCUAUUAAGUCAGGGGUGAAAUACGGUGGCUCAACCAUCGCAGUGCCUUUGAUACUGAUGGGCUUGAAUCCAUUUGAAGUGGGCGGAAUAAGACAAGUAGCGGUGAAAUGCAUAGAUAUGUCUUAGAACUCCGAUUGCGAAGGCAGCUCACUAAGCUGGUAUUGACGCUGA
rnacentral:rRNA from 1 species